UUUGAGGUCUAUCCUGAUGGGUCCUUUUCUGUAGGUCCUUAUCCUUGGAAACGCCUCAGACAGCAAAUGUGUAGUUACGCUUUACCCAUUGAUCUCUACCAGGUCUAUGGGGAUAAAACUACAAAACAAUU